GAAGCUUCCAGGGCAGUGUGCUGUCCUGACACAUGAUCAACGUUUCAUCUACUAUCUGAUCACAAAGAAAAAAGCCAGCCAGAAACCCACGUAUGUCAACCUAAGACAGAGUCUGGAAGACAUGAAAUCUCACUGCUUAGAAAAUGGUGUCAAUAGGAUAUCAAUACCCCGAAUUGGCUGUGGCCUGGACCAGCUGCUGUGGUCAAAGGUGUCAAAGAUCCUGGAACAGAUCUUUAAAGAGACAAAUAUCUCCAUCACAGUGUACAGCCUGCCCUGUGUUGGGUCAAAGCUUCAAAUGCAUGCCAUGUAGUACAU